GAAAUGCGAUAAGUAGUGUGAAUUGCAGAAUUCAGUGAAUCAUCGAAUCUUUGAACGCACAUUGCGCCCCUUGGUAUUCCAUGGGGAAUGCCUGUUCGAGCGUCAUUUGUACCCUCAAGCUCUGCUUGGUGUUGGGUGUUUGUCCCCGUCUCCGCGCGUGGACUCGCCCCAAAGUGAUUGGCAGCCGGCGUACUGGUCCCGGAGCGCAGCACAUGUCGCGCAAACGAGUGCCUUGGUACGGCGGCGUCCAUAAGCCCCUCUCUCACGCUCUUGACCUCGGAUCAGGUAGGGAUACCCGCUGAACUUAAGC
rnacentral:misc_RNA from 1 species